AUGUCACCAUUGGUACCCUGGCAAUCAUUCUAAUACUAACACAGAAAGAGAAGUUUUAUAAAUUAUUUAAUGGAUGAAUCUACUUCCAACAAUAUUUUAACAUUGUUCCUCAACUUACAACAUGAUAUGUUAACACUAUAAAUUUACAAUAUAAAAUUUCUGGACCAAGUCAUAUCACAUGAUGCUUCUAAAGGUAUACAUAGAAAACGGCUGUAUUAUUGAAAACAGUUAUUUUGCACCUUGUGUGAAAGAGACGCUACUAACCAAACUGUUACAAAACAAAUAGUUAUACUGUUAGAAACACAAUAACAAGAUAACACACACAGAUUAAACUUAGUUUAAAAGUACACAUAAAUGAUACCUAUCAAGCAAAAAUAAGUAACAUUAAAGAAUAGACAUUAUGUUUAUUAAUAGAUUAUUUUGCAAACACUUGUAAAGAUAAUUUCAUAGUAAUUGGAACAGGAUUAGAUUAGAUGUUACUUAAUUAAAGCAAACAGUAAAAUCACUUUAGAAAGUUACCAAAAGGGAUGUAACUUAAAUAACUGGCUAAAGGGAUGUUAUUUACUAUUGCCAUAAUUUUUGUUUGCCAUUAGCAACAUUGAAAUUUCUAACAUAAAUUAACGCUCCGCCACCUUGAUUCAUAUUUUGUUUUAGUAAAAAGCUCAAAACAAGCACUCAAAUAUAUUGAAAAUAAUGUUACUUCUUUAUACUGGCAAACAAAAUACUUUAAUAUUACACACAAAAAACAAACUUUGUUUAUACUUUUUGCUUCAUUGCUUAUGUCUUACUUUUAAGUUUUAUUUUUAAAAUUUCAGUACACAGAUUAAUUUAUCUUGCUUAUAAUAAAAUAUCUUUGUACAUAUAACAGGCUAUUAUUUCAACUUGGAAUAUUUUUUUUCUGGAAUUUGCAUAAUUUCUUGUGCCUGAAAUAUUUUAUAAAUUCCACAUUUAUUCUGUAUUAUCAAGUUUUGAUCAGCCCAUUUGUAAAGAUAGUGUUGUGUGAGGCACAGUACAUUCUAUUAAAAAUGUUCUGCAGUACAUUCUAUUGAAAAUGUUCUAUCUUCUUUGUAAUAGAAAGUGUUGUGUGCCGCACCAAACAUUAAAAUAUUAAAAAUUUCAAGUUCAAGAAAUUAUGCAAAAAACAUAAUUAAAAAUAAUUUCAGGUUCAAAUAAUAGCCUUUUAAUGUACUUUCAACAAUAUUUUCACCAAAAUAAAUACAGAUAUAAAGGCACUAUAUAAACAGGUACAAAUAACAAUAGUAUCAGAAAAAUAUAUAUAAAAAUAGCCUGAGUAUUGAAGACACAUAAAAAUUGCCACAUGUAUUAUGCUUUUCUACCCAUUAAUCUCUGUUGACAAAAACUUUACAAAAAACAUAAAAUUAUGUUGAAUAUUUCCCAUCUUGCACAGUCACUGUUUCAUAGAAUAUCGUUGAGAGAAAGCACAAUGGUCAUCACAUAAUAAAUGAAGGAAGCAAAAAUGGAAAUGUAUUAAAAGGAAUGUUUAUCUGGGAAUUUUAUUGUAUUCAAAAUGUCAAUCAGUUUACUAAGCAACAAAUUAUGCCACACACAAGUUUAAGUAUCCUUGUGAUGUGCAGUAAUUUUGACACACACAUUAUGUGCAGAAAUUCCCUAGAAUUUCAAUUUGAAGCUGAUAUCAUAAAAAAAUACUAAAGAAACACAUAAAUAGUCAUGCAUUUCCGUAAAAAAUAGAAAUGAUUUCCAAAUUGAUGGAAAGUUAAGAAGCACAAAGAUGUUU
rnacentral:lncRNA from 1 species